rnacentral:rRNA from 1 species
UCCUACGGGAGGCAGCAGUGGGGAAUAUUGGACAAUGGGCGCAAGCCUGAUCCAGCCAUACCGCGUGGGUGAAGAAGGCCUUCGGGUUGUAAAGCCCUUUUGUUGGGAAAGAAAUCCUGCCGGUUAAUAACCAGUAGGGAUGACGGUACCCAAAGAAUAAGCACCGGCUAACUUCGUGCCAGCAGCCGCGGUAAUACGAAGGGUGCAAGCGUUACUCGGAAUUACUGGGCGUAAAGCGUGCGUAGGUGGUUGUUUAAGUCUGUCGUGAAAGCCCUGGGCUCAACCUGGGAAUUGCGAUGGAUACUGGGCGACUAGAGUGUGGUAGAGGAUAGUGGAAUUUCCGGUGUAGCAGUGAAAUGCGUAGAGAUCGGAAGGAACAUCUGUGGCGAAGGCGACUAUCUGGGCCAACACUGACACUGAGCACCGA